CGGGAUGUAGCGUAGUUGGUAGCGUGUCUGUUUUGGGAAUAGAAGGUCGUGUGUUCAAGUCACACCAUCCCGA
rnacentral:tRNA from 1 species